GCUAAUAAUAGAUCUUAAAUAAAUAAACUGAAAAACAUACAAAUACAAAUCAACUUAUAUGUUGUUAUUAUAUGUUCGACUAUAGGAGUAUUAUUAUUAUAUGACAUAUUGGUGUAAUUUAGUGUUAUAAUUCAAUUCAAAGGCAAUAUAAAGACACUAAAACUGAAACUGAAAACAUACAACACUAACACAGAUCAACGCUUGGGCUCCUGUGUAUGAAGUACACUUUCAUAAAUAAAAAAAUAAUAAAAACAUUACUAGUAUAUAAUAAGUAAAUAAAUUAAUCUAACUCGAUAUUGUACUUAACAGUUUUGUAAUAAUUUAUGUUUAAUUAAAUAAACGUUCACCCGAGAACGGAGGAAUUUCAGACGAUUUCUUCCUGCGCACGGGACACAUAAAACUGGACGAAUCACGAAUGUGAGCAGCAUGCCCUAGUCUCUUGGCCUUCCACACGCGGGUUACACGCUGUCAUGAAUUUACCGUUCCAAAUUCCUCCGGCUUCGCGUGAAUUAGUCUCAUAAUAUAUAUAGAUCUAUAUAAUGACGCGAAAGAUUACUUUAUAGUUUAUACUAUUGGUGGAUUUCGAUCACUGAGAACUAUCUUGCGGCAGUUUAAUUUGUAGUCCACAUUUCUGAAUGACUACACUCUACUGCCCUCAGAAAACACUUUCUGAAAACCACCAAUUCUUGAAUUGUAAUGUUCUGUAUAAGCCAAAAUACUAUUAAGAUUAUUAAUUAUUUUAUUAUAUUCACUUUGCUGAAACUUCCCAGGGGUGAAGUUUAUGAUAUGCUCAUGCAUUGUAAAAAAAGAACUCGUUUCGAAGAUAUAACAAGUGCAAUAUGUCACGUUUUCCCCCAUAUGGCGCCAUUUUGACCCUUUUACGAGUUACAAGGAGUCAAGGACAACGCAAUUGCUCAAUUGGUAAUGAAUUUUUUUAGCAAGGAUCCUUGAAUUGUAAAAAUGUCUAUCUAGUGAUUAUAUACAAAAACAUGGUAUUUUAAUUAACGAA
rnacentral:lncRNA from 1 species